rnacentral:lncRNA from 1 species
UGUAAAAGAACACAUCUCCAAGUGUUUGUUUCAGAAUCUAUAUCACUAUGGGUAUUUGUAUUGUGUGUAAGCCAAAAAUAGACAUAACGUCACGUUAUGGGUUGCAUUUCUUUUUUUUUUUUUGACGUUUUUUACCAAUCACGACGUUUAGAGUAAACUUUUGAAACAGAGAGCGAAUUGUUGAGCGUUUUUAUCUAUUCACAUCGACCAAAUGGUUAAAAGCAUUUAUAAUUAAAUUGGUGGAAUUCAAUCAAUCGGGAUGUACUGAUGUUAUGCUUGGUAGCUAAAUGAAAAUGAGGAAAUUUUUAAACGUAAAACGAAAAAACGUAAGGCAUGAUUCAUAUUACAACAAGGCAGAAAAUUAAAUAUGGCCGGCAGCAACAAACUACAACUCUGGAUUUCAAUUCAGAUAGAUUUGUGUUAUUGAUGUUUAAAUCAUCUUUUUCUUUUCUUAGCAUGAGAUUUAAUACUUACAGCUUAAAGACAGGAGUGGCUUAGUGUAUUUUUGAAAACCUCGAGUCGAAUGGUAAACAAUAUCUCUACAUUCGCUUGUUAUAAUCAAAAAUAUUAACAUGCUUUAUUAAACUUUCAUGUAAAAAGAAAAAU